AGUGAACGCUGGCGGCGUGCUUAACACAUGCAAGUCGAACGAGAACGGGUUAUAGCUUGCUAUAAUUGUCAGCUAAGUGGCGCACGGGUGAGUAAUGUAUAGGUAAUAUGCCUCUUACUAAGGGAUAACAAAUGGAAACGUUUGCUAAUACCUUAUACUCCUUAUUAACAUAAGUUAAUAAGGGAAAGAUUUAUUGGUAAGAGAUUAGCCUGUAUUGUAUCAGUUAGUUGGUGGGGUAAUGGCUUACCAAGACUAUGACACAUAACUGGUUUGAGAGGAUGAUCAGUCACACUGGAACUGAGACACGGUCCAGACUCCUACGGGAGGCAGCAGUGGGGAAUAUUGCACAAUGGACGAAAGUCUGAUGCAGCAACGCCGCGUGGAGGAUGACACAUUUCGGUGCGUAAACUCCUUUUAUAUGAGAAGAUAAUGACGGUAUUAUAUGGAUAAGCACCGGCUAACUCCGUGCCAGCCGCCGCGGUAAUAC
rnacentral:rRNA from 1 species